GACGAACGCUGGCGGCGUGCUUAACACAUGCCAGUCGAACGGAAAGGCCCUGCUUUUGUGGGGUGCUCGAGUGGCGAAAGGGUGAGUAACACGUGAGUAACCUGCCCUUGUCUUUGGGAUAACUUCAGGAAACUGGGGCUAAUACCGGAUAGGAGCUCCUGCUGCAUGGUGGGGGUUGGAAAGUUUCGGCGGUUGGGGAUGGACUCGCGGCUUAUCAGCUUGUUGGUGGGGUAGUGGCUUACCAAGGCUUUGACGGGUAGCCGGCCUGAGAGGGUGACCGGCCACAUUGGGACUGAGAUACGGCCCAGACUCCUACGGGAGGCAGCAGUGGGGAAUAUUGCACAAUGGGCGGAAGCCUGAUGCAGCAACGCCGCGUGCGGGAUGACGGCCUUCGGGUUGUAAACCGCUUUCGCCUGUGACGAAGCGUGAGUGACGGUAAUGGGUAAAGAAGCACCGGCUAACUACGUG
rnacentral:rRNA from 1 species